UGGGUGACAGAGCAAGAAUCCUGUCUCUAAAAAAAGAAAAGAAAGAAAAAGAAAAAACUGAAAAGGAAAAUGAAGGUGGCAGCUGCUUUUCAGACCUAAUCCAAGGGAUUGAUCCAAUGUUACCUGUUUUGGUCCCUCUGCUGCUGUCCUGUGAAGCUUCUUUAAUUAAGAAAACACUGUAGAGCGAGCCGUCCCCUAACAGUGGCUGACUGGCCAUGUUGGGGGAAGUGAAGUCACCUCCACCUGUGUCAAAAGGACCACCUCCUCGAGGAUAUGGCCUGUGAAGGACAGCCUGCAGUUGCUUCAACUCUCCAUUGUGAAGGUCACGGACUCCAGACGCAGUGGCAUUAAUGCACCCAGGUGUGGAUUUAUGACCAUGGAAAGGGCCCAGCUCACUGCAUGACCAGCUGCAAGCUUUGCGCAUUAACCUAGGAGGCUGAGGUCUCUUCUGAUCUAGCUCCCUGUACCCAUAUGUCCCUUAGGUUUUAUUCCUGGGUAUAUUGGAUCAUGGAGCAUGUGGGAGCAGAGCCAUUUGCAACAAAUCUAAUCUAGGAAGAAAAGGGAAGUCAUUUUCAGUGUAUGGCUCCAAGCCUAGUGCUUCCUGACCUCAAAUCCAGCCUGUGGGCAUCAGGGGAAGAGUGGGAAGGAGGAGGUGAGGAGAGAGCAUGUCUGAGUAGCUGACGUGGAGUCAGCCUUUGUGGCCAAGGUGGCCCUGAAGGAGGAAGGUGAGGGGCAGGGAGAAGAGAGUACCUACGUGUCCCUGACUCCUGCCUGACUCUGUGGCUCAGGGGCAGUCAAAGUGGUUAGCGACCCGGACAUACAUCGACUGGGGCUGCCCAGCAGGCUGUCCAGAGUAAAAGCAAUUCCCAGUCAUUGGGGUCAUCUGGAGAUCUAUGUUAGAGUCUCCAGACUGGGAGUCCCUGCUGUAGUCCUCUGGCUGUUCCUGUCUCAAAUCUGUCCAGCCACUCGGUUGCUUUUGCUACUAUUUACCUGAAAAAUUUUGGCUAGCCUGGAUUUUCUUUUAUUUCAGCAUUGCCCACAAACACUGAUGUGGAAUUAAUCUGGAAAAGGCAUCCUACUCUUUACCAGAGUUGAAAGUAGAUCUUUUCAGCUCAUACGAUUACUUUUAGAAGCACUGUCAACAUACAUUUUCCAAAGAAAUGCAUCAGAGACAGACUAAGUAGGUGAGUCCUGCCUCCUUCCCAGCAAGAUCCCACAGUCUGCACAUUCUUUAUCUCUGUCUUCAUCUGCCAGGCUGAGGGUGAAGGCCUUUUCUUCUAUCAUCAGGGAUGAUGGAGAACAGCUGUCUCCAUUUAUUUAAAAAAUAUCCCGAAUAUGCUUUAAUUAAUCACCCUCAAAGAUUCCUCUCCUCCAGACAAAAUAAACCCAGGCUCAUCCACUCUGUUUGUUAUUUCUAACCCUUUGGUCACCUUAAAGGCCCACCCUUACCUUAGUGUAAUAGGAGAGGGGUUAUGGACAUGGGCUCUUGUUCUAUCCCACACUUACUGGGUGGCCUUGUGCAAGUCAUGUGGCCACUCUAGCCUGUUUCUCCAGUAUUACCUAUACCACGGGGUUAUCUGAGGAUUCCGUGAGACAGUUUCUCUAGCAUGCUCCCCAUUGUACCUGCUUUUAGCAGCCAGUAAAUACUCUCUGUUACUCUCAUUCCCCACUUUGUGCUUAGAAUCAGUCAUAACUGUUUAGUGAGGUACUGAUUAGCACUGCUAAUAUUCUGAAUGCUUGCUUAAAAUGGAAAAGGUUACUUUGUAUGAGACUUUGCAUUUUUUAAAGCUGAUUCUUUGCUUUUAAUUAGACAUCACUUUUACAGAAUAAGAAGAUGGAAUGAAUCUGUGAUGUUAUCUACAUAAUGAGGCCAGUAUGGCACAAAAGCAGUGAAGUCCCUGAAAAUACCAGCCAAAUUUCACCAGAGCAUAUAUUAUAGAGCUUUAAAGUACCUAGAAGAGAAAAACUGCUUCCUUCCCUGCUUCUUUGCCUCCCCUGUUAGACCCUGAACCCUUAGUGCUUGGGCACUGUGUCCUUUCCAGUAUUGGCUUCCUAGAAUCUCACAGAUUGCCUGACACAGGAAGCAUUAAUAAUUAUAUGUUAAAUAAAUAAAGGUAUUUUCAUGUAGAGAUUUUUUUUUAAAGUAGGAGAGACUGAAGUCAAAGGGUAGAACUCAGAGUAGUUUUAGGAGUGCGUGUGAUCAACUCACGGUCACUCCAGCCGCUGUGAAGUGUGCCCUUGACACAGUGACGUCUCUUUGGAUUUCAUAGGUGGGGUGCUUGAAGGAGGUUGGGCAUUGGAGUGAGGCAGACCUGGGCUUGACUAUGGAUCUGCCACUUGCCAGUUGAAUGACACUGGAGAAUUGACAUGUUCUCCCUGUCAUAGGGGUGGAGAAUUGGAUAGCACCAAUUUCAUGGGAUUUUUGUGGGGAUGAAAUGUUGACAUGAAACACCCUUAAGUUCUCUCUCUGCCUUGAUUUCUGGAUUAUUUGGACGGCUCCACACUUAGCAUGCUCAAACUUGGAGGUCGAAGGAGGAGAGGCAACCUCUGAAGAGUGUUUUGGGAAUAAGAGUGAAUGGUCCUUCCUGGUCUGCUCAGCAUUGAUGUUGGGCUGGCUUCAGUGAGUGAUAUGUGGCCUGUGACUCAACAUGGAGGCCAGUGAAUCAGACUCAUGGACAUUUGCAAGAGCUUAUUGUAUGGAUCUUUGUCAUCCACGUUUGUUCCAUGGACCCACCUCCCAACUCUACUCCAAACCCACCCUAUACUUUCCAUCUUCAUUGCCCACUCCUUCCAGGCUGUCCUAUGCCUUUCUCAACUUCUAUAAUGGCCUCCUCACUGGUGUUCACAUUUGUCCUACUUCAGCGUUGCCUCCCAGGCACCACAUCUUCACAGAGCAGCCAAAACAGAAACCAGAUCAGGCCACUCCUUUGCUUCAAGGUACGUUACAGAUGUAUGUGCUAUAGGGCUUUGCAGAACUGGGCUCUGCCUGGCUCGUCCCCCAUCACCUCAUCAUACCAUUCUGCUCCUUGCUCUUUCAAAUACAUCAGCCCACUUUUCAACAGACCAUGUGCUUCCCAGCUCAAGGUUUCACGCUUUUGGUGAACUCUGCCUGCAGUGCCCUGCCCCUGCUCUUCCCACAGCUGGCAAGUCUCCAGGCUUCUGCUCUGAGGUCACAUCCUCAGAGCCAUCCUCCCUGACCCGCAUAUCACAACACUCAGAGGAGUCAUCUUUGUUUUGAUUGGUUGUUUAUUGCUUGUCUCUCUCCACUCCCUCAGAAUGAAAGCUUCAUAAAGACAAGGAACCUUGUGUCUCAUCCCUGCUGGGUUCCCAGUGUUUUAGAACAGUACCUGGCACAUGGAGGAUUCUCAGUCAGUGUCUGUUGAAUAAAGCAGUAAGAAGAGAAACCCUAAAUCUGUAAAACUGUAAGAAAGAUGUUUAGUUGUGUGGGGCAGAGGGCUGAUUAUGCCAGUGUUCAUGAGGAUGUGGUAAUUAAUGCUGAGCAGAGUCUGAAAGAGAGUUCUCAGCACUAUGGCUAUAAAAAGGAAAAUGAUGUUUCUCUGCUCACAAGAGAUGGGAAUCACGUCUGUUGCAGAAAUGUUAGAUUUUGGUGGGUCUAGGUGAGUUGGAUAUCUGUGGUCAAGAGUCUUUAAUGGUGAGAAAUCAUGAGCUCUGAAAUCAGACCCUCCUGCCUCUCCUACUUAUGGCUGUAUGACUAUUAUGUGUUGUCUCUGAACUCUGAUUUCUCCAUCUGUAAAAUGGGUAUAAUAAUGCUAACGUUGGAGCACUGCUGUGGAGAUUCACGGUAGUCUGCCUGGCACUUGGACCUGCUCAAUAAGUGGCAGCUUUAAUUUUGGAGUAAAAUUUUAAAAAUGCUAUUAAUUCAAAAUGUGACAUCAAAAAUCCAAUUUAAUUAAACAGCUAUUAAUUUAAGCACUUUUAAUACUUAGCAUAAAUGCUGCAGGGAAUCCAAAGAUGGGUAAGAUAGAAAACAUGUCCUUAAAUAACUAAAAAUCUAUAAAAGGGUAAGAUAAGUCAUAAUGUUAAUAACGUACAUGCAAUUUGUAAUUUGCAAUUUGUAAAGUAAUUUUAUAUGCCUUUUAUUAUUUGUUCUCACAACUGCCAUAUGAAGCCAAUGUAAUAUGGGCUUUGUGACCCUCUACAAGCCAUGGACAUCUCUGAACCUGACCUUGUCACUUGCAAAAUGAAGAGUGGCAAUUACAUUAAAGAAUAGUUGUCAGCAAUCUAUGUUAUGCCCCAGGUAAAACAUAGGGUCUAGCAUACGAAAGUCAGUCAAAUAUAUUAGUCCUCUCUCACCCCAGUCUCUAACUCUGGAUCCUGCAUUCUUUCCAUGACAUGGUGCUUCCAGAGGAAUGGGUAGCGUUUUGACAGAUAACACAGUCAAAUCAUUUAGAUGGCAUUCCGGUUAGAGGGAAUCGUCAGAGCAGUGAAGUCCAGUAGGGAAGGACGUUCCUUUGGGGAUUGGUAGGUCCGCUGUUGUGGAAGGUGUCUCACUAGGGGGAUCAUAUAGCACAGGGCAUCCUAGAAGCUCUUUUAGUUGCCGGGCCAGAGGUAGAUGGAUUUGGCAAAGGAUGUAGAGCACAAUGGAGAAAAGAAAGACAUGUGGGCCACUUAGAAGGCCCUUGCACAAGUCUAGGCAAAAAGUAGUAAGAAUAGUUGAGACACAAAGUGAGAUCGAUCAAAGAAAUGAAUGACCACUCUGUGGCAACUGACUGGGUGACAGUCGUGAGGGGCAACUGUGGGAGAGAUGGCUCUGAGCUUUUUAUCCUGGAUGUUUGGGUCUCAGAGUUCAGGAUGGACUUUGUUCAUCUUCUGCGUACAGCAUGUGGCUAAAACUACAGGAAUGUUUGUGCCUUUCCAUGCAAGACAGUAUGGAAACGGAAGGUGCAAGACAGAAGAGAAGAGGCCCAGUGAGAGAUCUGGAGACAUUCUUACAUUUGGAAUUGGCAGGAAUGAGAAAAAUAAAAAUUGGCAGUGACAGAGAAAAAUAAGGGGUCAAAGAGGAAGGAAGCUGAGCCAGAGCACGCAGCAUCCAAGGGGACAGUAGAGCAGCGUGUCCACAAGGCUGGGCUGGUGCACGAUUCUACGCUUGUGAGUGUUGAGGAUAUUGCAGACUAUCAAAGUGUCUUAGAAUUGAAGAUUAAGAGGCCAUGAAGCCGUUUAAGAAGGCAGAUGAAUGAGAGCAAAAAUUAGGUGGCUGGAUGUGAUGGGAGGGAUAAGGAAGUAGAGCCACCGUGCUUGGCUAAGCCCCCCAACUCUUAAUAGCCGUUGACUAAGAACUGCUGGGGUUGGUACCCAUAAGGUCCUUUCGGCCUAUUGAGGGUGACCAAGAGGGCUCCAGCAGCCAGAAAAGCCUUCAGGCAGAGAGAUGCAGGAGCUGACCGUGGAAGGUUAGACUAGCCGGUCAGAGAGAUGCAGGAACUGACCGAGGGAGGUUAGACUAGCCUACAUGGAAGCGGUGGAGAUUGAGAGGAUAGUCAGGCUCCUCACAGCAUCUGCUGCAGGUCUGUCAUUGGUAUUUUCACAGAAGUUUCCAGAGGCUCCAAAGCUGUAACCGUAAAGCCGGUGAGUGUACAAGCACCUGUACCAGACAUGGCUCCUCGCCUUUCGUGAAGAGACUUUAUGAUUGAACAUUGAAAUUUUGUUUAUUUUUAGAGUGCAGAGGAUGGCCUUGAAACAGGGUAAAUUUUGCUGGGGCUCCUGGAAAUUAAAUGGCCCCUAUGCUUUGUGGAGCUGAGCUCAGGAGUCACAGGCCUGGGGGCCUGGAGGGGCCCAAGAUGUGAUUCCGCACUUAGGUGUUGAGAGGGAGUAGGAUGCCAAGUUCCUGAGCUGGUACAUUGUGAAUGAUCAUUACUUUUUCAUUUCACUUCAUUUAGGGGAUAACUGCUUGAUAAGUUUAGUGUAAUGCAAAUGCCUGAUGUAGGUUGGUCACCAACUUUUUUUUUUUUUUUAA